GACUCCGCGAAGCUGGAUUCGCUAGUAAUCGCGCAUCAGCCAUGGCGCGGUGAAUACGUUCCCGGGCCUUGUACACACCGCCCGUCAAGCCAUGAAAGCCGGGGGUGCCUGAAGUCCGUGACCGCGAGGGUCGGCCUAGGGUAAAACUGGUGAUUGGGGCUAAGUCGUAACAAGGUAUC
rnacentral:rRNA from 1 species